rnacentral:rRNA from 1 species
AUUGAACGCUGGCGGAAUGCUUUACACAUGCAAGUCGAACGGCAGCACGGACUUCGGUCUGGUGGCGAGUGGCGAACGGGUGAGUAAUGUAUCGGAACGUGCCCAGUCGUGGGGGAUAACGUAGUGAAAAUUACGCUAAUACCGCAUACGAUCUAUGGAUGAAAGCGGGGGAUCGCAAGACCUCGCGCGAUUGGAGCGGCCGAUAUCAGAUUAGGUAGUUGGUGGGGUAAAGGCCCACCAAGCCAACGAUCUGUAGCUGGUCUGAAAGGACCACCAGCCACACUGGAACUGAGACACGGUCCAGACUACUACGGGAGGCAGCAGUGGGGCAUUUUGGACAAUGGGCGAAAGCCUGAUCCAGCCAUUCCGCGUGCAGGAUGAAGGCCCUCGGGUUGUAAACUGCUUUUGUACAGAACGAAAAGGUUUCUACUAAUACUAGGAGCUCAUGACGGUACUGUAAGAAUAAGCACCGGCUAACUACGUGCCAGCCGCCGCCGUAA